AGAGUUUGAUCAUGGCUCGAGGACGAACGCUGGCGGCGUGCCUAACACAUGCAAGUCGAGCGGAGACAUUUGAAAAGCUUGCUUUUUGGAUGUUUCAGCGGCGGACGGGUGAGUAACGCGUGAGCAACCUGCCUUUAACAGGGGGAUAACGCAUCGAAAGAUGUGCUAAUACCGCAUAAGACCACAACGCUACAUGGCGAAGGGGUCAAAGGAGCAAUCCGGUUAAAGAUGGGCUCGCGUCCGAUUAGCUAGUUGGUGAGAUAACGGCCCACCAAGCCGACGAUCAGUAGGGGUUCUGAGAGGAAGGUCCCCCACAUUGGAACUGAGACACGGUCCAAACUCC
rnacentral:rRNA from 1 species